ensembl:lncRNA
CCGGAAGGGACAUGUCGGUAUGGCGAAACGACAAUGGAGGACACCCACCCGUACGAGAGUUUUAUUGAGUUUUAUUUUGUAAUCAGCCUAAAAUACAAAGACAUUCAAGCAGUGCGAUGCAUGAGGAGUCUGCCAUGCAGACCAGCGAUCCUGAUCCUGUUGUCGGCCUUGGAGGAUGAGGUCCAGCUACCAGGAUCACUACUCUGCAGCUCACUGAUCCCAUCCUGCAGCUCAUCCAUGCCGUCCUCCUCUCAACAGACCAAAUCAAGAAAAAGGAAGCAGGAUGCUACUGUGGAUCUGCUCUUCAGAUUAGCUCUGCUGUGAUUAACAAUCUGCCUUCAUCGCAGUCACAGCCAACGGGGAAGAUGGUCUUAAGGUUAAUUGCGAGGCAGAGGUCAGCUGUUGCCUGGAUAUCCGUGAUCACGCCACUGGUGGGACACAAUUGUACUGGAUUUCAGCUGAAGGCUGCUGUUCUGUCCAAACUGUCAUGAGACACUGACAUUUUUAUUGUGAUAUACCCACCACUGUUGUUAGUUUUUGUUUCAAUAAAUUGUUUGAGAUGAGGAAAUCGCUAUUGCAUGCUUCUACUUAAAUGCCCUACUUUCAUGAUUUGGUAUCACCAUAGCAUGAAUUUUUUACAUUUUCCAUAAAUUUCACCCAAAAGUUGAAUAACUAUUUGUGAGCGGUGUAUGUAUACACGUCAUCUAAGCAC